rnacentral:rRNA from 1 species
UACGUAGGGUGCGAGCGUUAAUCGGAAUUACUGGGCGUAAAGCGUGCGCAGGCGGUUUUUUCAGCCGGAUGUGAAAUCCCCGGGCUCAACCUGGGAACUGCAUUUGUGACUGCAUAGCUAGAGUACGGUAGAGGGGGAUGGAAUUCCGCGUGUAGCAGUGAAAUGCGUAGAUAUGCGGAGGAACACCGAUGGCGAAGGCAAUCCCCUGGACCUGUACUGACGCUCAUGCACGAAAGCGUGGGGAGCAAACAGG